UACGAAGGGGGCUAGCGUUGCUCGGAAUCACUGGGCGUAAAGGGUGCGUAGGCGGGUCUUUAAGUCAGGGGUGAAAUCCUGGAGCUCAACUCCAGAACUGCCUUUGAUACUGAGGAUCUUGAGUUCGGGAGAGGUGAGUGGAACUGCGAGUGUAGAGGUGAAAUUCGUAGAUAUUCGCAAGGAACACCUGUGGCGAAAGCGGCUCACUGGACCAUUACUGACGCUGAGGCACGAAAGCUAGGGGAGCAAACAGG
rnacentral:rRNA from 1 species